GCAGAGAUCUGCAGGAGGGUGAGUGGAUGGAUGGAGUAUAUUGGGGAAGAACUUGUUUGGUGGGAGGGUGGUGAGAGCCUGGCCCAGGUUGCCCCGAGAAGCUGUGGCUGCCCCAUCCCUGGAGGGGUUGAAGGGCAGGUUGGAGGGGGCUUGGAGCAACCUGGUGUGGUGGGAGGUUCCAUCCAGGGUAGAACUGGAUGAUCUUUAAGGUCCAUUCCAACCAAAACAUUCUAUGAUUCUAUGGACGGAUGGAUGAAUGGAUGGAUGGACAGAUGGGUGGGUGGGUGGGUGGAUAAAUGGAUGGAUGGAUGAGUGGUUGGAUGGAUGAAUGGAUGGAUGAGUGGGUGGAUGAAUGGAUAGAUGAAUGGAUGGAUGGGUGGAUGAAUAGACAGAUGAGUGGGUGGAUGGAUGGAUGGACAGAUGGGUGGGUGGUGGAUGGAUGGAUGGAUGGAUGGAUGAAUGGAUGGAUGGACAAAGAUCAGGGUGUGAGGAUGACUCUUCCUGUCUGUUCCUUUCCCUGCCCUAGUGAACACGCAGUGAUGACACUCUUGCUCUGGUCCCAAGACCCCUCUGGGACAGGGGCAGCCCGGGUGCUGUGGGUCCCAGGGCUCUCUCCACCUCUGCAUUGCCCAAGUUCAGCCCAGCCCCAGGGAGCCACUGCCCGAGUCCCGUCUCUCUGCUCCAGGAGGUGUCCCCAGGCAAGACAAACCCCUUCCCGCUGCCCUCAGCCCCUCUCUGGGGGGGGACACAGAGGUGUUGUGGGGUGCGUGUGUCCCCACACAGCGCCGUGCCCCUUGGUGCUGGGUCGGUGUUUGCUCAGGGCAGGGUGCCACCGCUGCCACCGUUGCCACCACUGCCACAUGCUGCCUUUCCCAGCCGCUCCCCGCUUGUUUGUUUGCUCCCGGGAUGUCUCCUGGGCAGCGCUGAGAAGGAUGCUGCACCUCAAGGGGUGCCCACCCAUUGCCUCCAUCUCUGGGGGGACACCCCCCAAGGGUUUCUCCAUGAGGGUCAGGGGUCAGGAGAUGGGGGUGCCGGGGACAGGCAUCUGGGGGGCUCAGGACUGGAUGCUUUGGGCUUCAGUUGUUUUUUUGGGUGCUAAAGGGCUUUGGGAUUGUGGGGUCGCUGUGUGUUCACCGUCAUCCUGUCAGCCGCAAGCAUGGGGUGAGCUAGGGGAGGGUGGUCUUCAUGGGGGAGGUGACAUCUCCAGAGGAAGAGGCUUUUCCUGCACAUC
rnacentral:lncRNA from 1 species